UGGCUCAGUUGGUAGCGCAUGGUGUUUGCAACGCCAGGGUUGUGGGUUCAUUUCCCAC
rnacentral:tRNA from 1 species